rnacentral:rRNA from 1 species
UACGUAGGCAGCGAGUGUUGUUCGGAGUUACUGGGCGUAAAGAGUGCGUAGGCGGUUUUCUAAGUUUGGUGUGAAAUCUCCCGGCUUAACUGGGAGGGUGCGCCGAAAACUGGAAGGCUUGAGUAUGGGAGAGGUAAGCGGAAUUCCUGGUGUAGCGGUGAAAUGCGUAGAUAUCAGGAGGAACACCUGCGGUGUAGACGGCUUACUGGACCAUAACUGACGCUGAGGCACGAAAGCGUGGGUAGCAAACAGG